rnacentral:rRNA from 1 species
GACAGAGGAUGCAAGCGUUAUCCGGAAUGAUUGGGCGUAAAGCGUCUGUAGGUGGCUUUUCAAGUCCGCCGUCAAAUCCCAGGGCUCAACCCUGGACAGGCGGUGGAAACUACCAAGCUGGAGUACGGUAGGGGCAGAGGGAAUUUCCGGUGGAGCGGUGAAAUGCGUAGAUAUCGGAAGGAACACCAGUGGCGAAAGCGGCUUCCUGGUCCAGCACCGACGUCAGGCACGAAAGCGUGGGGAGCAAACAGG